rnacentral:rRNA from 1 species
GACGAACGCUGGCGGCGUGCUUAACACAUGCAAGUCGAACGGAAAGGCCCCUUUGGGGGUACUCGAGUGGCGAACGGGUGAGUAACACGUGAGUAACCUGCCCUUGACUUCGGGAUAACUUCAGGAAACUGGGGCUAAUACCGGAUAGGAAUCCUUGCUGCAUGGUGGGGGUUGGAAAGCUUCGGCGGUUUUGGAUGGACUCACGGCUUAUCAGCUUGUUGGUGGGGUAGUGGCUUACCAAGGCUUUGACGGGUAGUCGGCCUGAGAGGGCGACCGGCCACAGUGGGACUGAGAUACGGCCCAGACUCCUACGGGAGGCAGCAGUGGGGAAUAUUGCACAAUGGGCGGAAGCCUGAUGCAGCAACGCCGCGGGCGGGAUGACGGCCUUCGGGUUGUAAACCGCGUUCAGCAGGGGCGAAGCUUGUGGUGACGGUACCUGCAGAAGAAGCACCGGCUAACUACGUG